rnacentral:rRNA from 1 species
AUUGAACGCUGGCGGCAUGCCUUACACAUGCAAGUCGAACGGUAACAGGUUAAGCUGACGAGUGGCGAACGGGUGAGUAAUGUAUCGGAACGUGCCCAGUCGUGGGGGAUAACUGCUCGAAAGAGCAGCUAAUACCGCAUACGACCUGAGGGUGAAAGCGGGGGAUCGCAAGACCUCGCGCGAUUGGAGCGGCCGAUACCAGAUUAGGUAGUUGGUGAGGUAAAGGCUCACCAAGCCGACGAUCUGUAGCUGGUCUGAGAGGACGACCAGCCACACUGGGACUGAGACACGGCCCAGACUCCUACGGGAGGCAGCAGUGGGGAAUUUUGGACAAAGGGCGCAAGCCUGAUCCAGCCAUGCCGCGUGCGGGAAGAAGGCCUUCGGGUUGUAAACCGCUUUUGUCAGGGAAGAAAAGGUUCUGGCUAAUACCUGGGACUCAUGACGGUACCUGAAGAAUAAGCACCGGCUAACUACGUG